rnacentral:lncRNA from 1 species
CUGCGAUCGGACGGCUCGGAUGUAUCCCCUCUCUAGACGCGAUUGGACGGUCAGAUUUAAACGCAAUCAACGAUUCAGAUCUAUUUCCUAUUUAAUCGCGAUUAGACAGUGCAAAUCAAACGCGAUGGACGGCCCAGAUUAAAAGGGAACGAAUAUAAAUAACCCUCUUCACACCAAAUCCUAACCCUAGUUGGCAGACACCCUCGCCGGAGAAGAAGACCCAACUGCCGGGAAGGAGAGCCGCCGCCACCCACCGCCGCGCCGGAGCCACUCCUGACUGCUAAAAGAAGUAAAAAAAAUUUCCUUUACUCGGAAUUCAAUUUUAAACACCCCCAUGGCCAAAUUGGAGCCAAAAGACCUGCGGAUUGGCAGGAAACCGCGGAUAAAGCCCAGUGCGGCCACCGCACAAAAUUGUAAAAAACGCAUCCGAUGAGACUCUUUCCGAUUCUCGUUCUGCGUAAUUUUUUCACCAUUGUAACACCGUUUCCUCCUCUACAGGUUGACCGAAGCAAAAUAUUCAACCGUAAAGGUGAGCUGGUGAAGUCACCGCACCAGAGAACCCCGCCGUUUAUGAGUUUCGGUUUUUCGUUUUUUUUUUUGCCAACCAAGACCUCUUAGCGUAUUUUCUCGCAUUGAUGCAAAACCAGCCGAAUUCGGCUGAAAACUGUCAAAAACAACUGACCCGAGGCAAACUGCCGCUGCAGGCAGCGGCGGAGCCACCGUGCCGGAAUUCUGGAAUUAGCCAAAAAGAGGUCCUGACACCAAUUUUGGGUUAUUGGGAUAUUUGUAGGUACUUAUAACGCGUUUUAAUCUCCGAAGAAAAAUUCAAGGAAUCCGGAGACCGCUAGUAGGUACAGUCAACAAGUUUAGCUUUUCGGAAAUCAAUUUGAGUAAUAAUCUCUUACCUUACUCUCUGUUAUAGAAUUGAAGUCAAAUUAACAAUAAAUACGGUGUUUUGUGCAAUUUAAAAAAUAUUCAUAAUUAAUUACGGAUUAUUAAUGAAGGCAGAACUAAAAAUUAUUUACUGUUGAUUUUGUUGAUUGAUUUUAUAGUUUAAAUGCAUGAUAGUAUCUAAUUGAUCGAUUUUAUAGAUUUGAAUGCAUGUGUUAUUUGUAUUAUGUGAUUACGGUUGAAUUGGAAGACUGAAGAUUAAAAGUAAACGGAGAACUGUGUGAUUAAGUGAAUAGAUGAAACAACAACUCUACUGGAUAUCCUGAGAGAUGGUGGACGGACUGGGUGCAUAGGGAACCCUACCGUGAACGUUGUAUCAUACCGGACGAGAUAUCGAGACUUAAUAAUUUGGUGUUCAUACCCGACGGGGUAUGAGGACGGAUCGUUUCACCUUAAUACCGGACGGAGUAUUGAGCUUUUGUAAUUUGGCGUUCAUACCAGACGAGAUAUGGGGACGGCCCGUGAAUUGGAAAUGUUGAAGGAAAUGGUUCACCGUUGUGGGCACAUCCCUAUGAACUUUCAUGGAUACCAAUAGGCUGAUAAAAAGGAAAAAUUCUUGUUCUGGUUAAUUGAAUAUGAGAUCAUGAUAUGUAUUAUGUUAUUGACUCUACAGGUUGUUUUUGCAAAUCUCGCUACGGUAAGUAAACGGUAAAUAAUUUUAUUAUGAUAAAUGAAUUUGCUUAAUUACGAGAUUCA